UUUAAGAGAAAGUGUUUAUUGAAAGAAACAAUUACAUGAGGAAGAGUAAACAUUUUAAAGCGUUAAAAUUGUUCGUAACGGAGGACAGAAGUUUUGCAAACAGACGCCGUUGGCUCAGCUUGAUGAAUCAAUAUUAAAUGAGUGAAUUACUGCAGUUAAUGAAAAGGUUUUACGGGUUACAAAUAGUUGCGUGAUGUAGUUUGUACAUAAAUCUGAGUUCUAGUCCCUGAGCCUCAAAACUAUUUUCACAAUGUGAUGACAUGCAUAGUUUAAGUGUGACGUUUGUGGACGUCCGUCCAGCAGAAACGCAGCUCCGUGUUUACGACUUGUCGAGGUGAAGUGACAAAAUUCAGUGUCCUGCUUCCGAAGAAUGAAGCUUCUGUCAAGUGUAAAGCAAAAGACAAUUAAAGCGUUUGGGAGUUUUUAUUGUCUCACACGUGUUAGUUCUCAGAACAGAUAAGUAAGUAUUUCAUCCCAGAGCCUUUAACAGAUGCAUAGUUAAUGGUUUUAAGGAAACAGUGUGAAAACAAACAUUUCACAGCUUACUAAAAAAGUAAAAACACGAGUUUCUCCCUCGAGACGAAACAUACUUUUUCGCCUCUUCACUACAAAUACAUGAACUAUCCAUUUAUAAACCAACAGAAGAUGAUUCAAAGACCUUGUCUGUUUCACAGCUUUUCCCUUAACGCACAUCCUAAACGGAGGACACCUUUAACGACAGUAAGAUAUUCAGCGCUUCCGUUCGUCACCGCUUAGUUUGCAUGGGAUGCAGAUGGCAUUUGUUUUAUUAAAUGCUGCAGCGUAGCAGCAAUCCCUGAAGGGCGGAACAUCCAACCCUGAAUAACCUUUGAUUGAAAAUGUCUUUGCAGCCCCAAAUACCAAGCUGCUCCACGUUUCCAUAGCAACCGCAAACGGAUGCCGCUAAAUAAGUCACCGCUAAAUGCAUCCAGAAAUGUAUUAUAUUGAAAUUGAUCAGUACGGGCCUCAAAAAUGACUUUGGCAAUACGAGGAAGCUCGAAAUGCAUCUUCUUCCCACCGCAGCAGCUCUGCUUCGAGAUAAAAACGCAGAGGAAGCUUUAAAAAGGAGACGACAGUGAAACGGGACCGUAAACAUUGUGUCCUUUAGGAAUAUACUUUUAUGAGAACAGUUAUUAUUUCAGGUGUAAAGGCACAAACAUGAAGGAGAUUGUCUUGUUUCGGGGUUUUCAGGUCCAGCAGCGACGGGUCAGAGGAAUCCUGGGGGAGAAAACAGAAUCCCAAUAAGUCUUUGAGGGGAAACGGAUUCUUUGCUUCCGUCAAAAUAAGACAAAGCAAGACGGGAACUUCAGCUUUUACCAUUUAAACAACUCCUUCGAGGUAAAGAAAGAUAUAGAUUUUUUUACACUAUAGGUUACAUGAUCAAUUUCCAAAUAGAAUAAAAAAAAAUUUUUAACUUCAUAAAGAAGAAACAUAACUUACCGAGAUUUGCUCAGAGAUCGUCUGAGGCGAUUUUUAUCUUUUUGGGGGUUUUCUUUUUCUGGAAGGAUCAAAAAAGAAGAAAUUUAGUCGUGAAUCCAAACAACGUAACGGAAGAAGAGGCGAAGCGUGGGUAGAAGGUCGCGUCGGUUGCCAUGGAGACACGUCUCACCUUCGCAGCGGGAGGAGUUUGUUCCUCUGCAGCCGGUUCCGUCUCCUCCGACCGGUUCCUCUCUGCAAAUCAGAAUUCAAACAUGAAGCCUGAAGCUGUUCUUCCCGUUCGUGUCCGCUAAGCGAUUCCUUUGGUUUAAUGGAUUCUUUAAUUGCUAAAAAUUAAUAUGUUUAACAGCGAGAAAGUGUCUCACUCUUUUUCUUUGCAGAAGUGACGGGCAUGGGGCUGUCAGUCGUCUCCUCGCCUUCUUCAGCCAUGAUCAUCAUCUUCUUCUUCUUCUUGCCUUCCUUUGGAAGUGGAGUCGAUGCCGUCUCAGGAGGUCCGGAGCUCUCCUCCUUUUCCUCCUCCUCCUCUGUUUGCUUCUUCUUUUUCUUCUUCGGCGGUUGGUUUUCCUUUGAGGAAUUCUCUUCUUGCUCUCCGUUCAUUUUAAUCAUCUUCUUCUUCUUCUUUGGUGUGUCGUCGCUCUUCUGGGCGGGGUCACCUUGGGGCGUCUCCUCCGCGGUCGCCUUUUGUCUGCAAGAAUGAUUGAUGUUACUUGUGAUUAAUGAUUGUGAUUUACAAUGAAGGUAUUGCUGAUGUAACUAUACUUGUUAAAUGUUUGACUCUAAUCUAAAUAUAUUUUGUGUUUAUUCCACAUUGAUCUAAUUAUUAUAAAUUGCUUAAAUAUAUUUAUGCAUUUUUUACAGUUACAUUAUUUAUAUGCACGUAUUUUAAGACCAUAAAGAGGCCAAAGAAAACCUCUGACCUCAUCUUCAUUAUCUUUUUUCUACGGUGUUGCAACCUUUUCACGAGGCUGUGUUUCUUCCUGAAACGGCGAUUCUUAGUCGAUGAGCUUGCAUCUAUAAGAAGAAAAAAAAGAAGUAGUAAAAAGUACAAAUCAUUGAACUUCAAAUUGUAAGCGCAGUGAAAGAAGAAGGUAUUCGGUUGCGUUGUUUGUAAACAGUCUUGUGUUCAUUUUGCAUGCAUUGUUUGUGAGGAAUAUCUUUAUUUUCAUUAUUACCGUAACAUUACUACUAUAGAUUUUAACAACCAUACUUUAUGUCAGCCUGGACAUUUAAUCUGAAAAAGGACUAAAGACGGAGUAGAAAUAAGAGUUUGACAGGUGGGAGACACCGACUACCUGUGGACUCCUGAUCCUUGUCUGUGUCUGUGUUGCCCCCUGCUGGUGUUUCCUUAGACGGUUUCUUCUUCUUUGUCUUGGCUGGACUCGAGGACAAGCUGCACUCCACUUCUACGGCCUCGCUCUUCUCUUCUGUUACCUUCUUCUUCUUCUUUUUGAUUUUCUUCUCUGAAGGCGUGACCUCUUCCUUCUCCUCCGCUACCUCUUGCUCCAUCUUCCUUUUCUUAGCCUUCUUCUUCUUCUUCUUCUCCUCCUCCGGUGAAGUGGCCAAAGAGGCAUCCGCCUCCUCUAUCGUCUGAUCUGCCUCCUCCUUUUCUUCCGUCUGCUUCCCCUCGGCCCUCCGUUUGUCUCUCUUCAUCUUUUUGGCGGUCUUGGCGGCGAGAGGAGCGUCGCUGGGUGCGUCUACGGUGGACGAGUCGGUGCUCGGUGCCUCCGCCUCCUCUUUGCUCUUCUUUUUCUUCUUCUUCUUCGAGGGGGUUUUGGAAAGGUCUUCCUCGGGGGGCGGCUGGCUGGAUCGUGGCUGGGUCGGGUCGGUGUCCUCGAUGUUGAGGACGAUGGAGACUUCAGGGUCUCCGGAGGCCGUCACCAUUUCUGCAACAGGACACAGAAACACUUACCAAGUUGUAGCAAACCGAAGUCAACUUUAAAAAAAUUAAACACAAUUUGAGAAAUUGUUGCUAAUGAAAUAGCUGAGUAGCUAGUAACCACUAGCCUACUUUGACUAGUAACCACUAGGCUACUGUGACUAGUAACCCCUAGUAACCACUGGGAUACUGUGACUAGUAACCCCUAGUAACCACUAGGCUCCUGUGACUGGUAACCCCUAGUAACCACUGGGCUCCUGUGACUGGUAACCCCUAGUAACCACUGGGCUCCUGUGACUGGUAACCCCUAGUAACCACUGGGAUCAUGUGACUGGUAACCCCUAGUAACCAGUGGGCUACUGUGACUAGUAACCAGUGGGCUACUGUGACUAGUAACCAGUGGGCUACUGUGACUGGUAACCAGGAGGCUACUGUGACUGGUAACCCCUAGUAACCACUGGGCUACUGUGACUGGUAACCCCUAGUAACCACUGGGCUACUGUGACUGGUAACUCCUAGUAACCACUGGGCUACUGUGACUGGUAACCCCUAGUAACCAGGAGGCUACUGUGGGUGGUGAGAAAAGGAGUUAAUGUCAAGCCCCGCAUGCAUUUACAACACAGACCUUAUUAGAAUGACCAGCGUCUCUGCACACGUGCGUUACCGACAGGUCAAUUCCCCAAAUAGCGGCGUGUGGUGUUUGAGGUUGAACCUAACGUUAGCUAACAAGCUAAGUAGGGCUAAUCCCACACACACGUGCGGAUAAGCAGGAUGCAUCCGGCUCUCCGGUACCGUUAACUUAUUCAAACAAACAGCACAAACACGCACACGCUCUCUCGUCUGAACAACACGAACAUACCUGCAAAUGGGCCGAAAUAAUCACAGGAGUGAUUUUGUGUUCCUCAGUAAACGCGUUUACUAGAAUGAGAGGAAACACGCGUGUUGCCGGAAUGUGCCGGCGAAGACCGAAGCAAUCGAUCCCAGUGUAGCUGAUCAGGCGACUUAGUAGAUAAAGGAUUGAGGACUAAUGAUUCAUUCCUUUUAGACAAAAACUGAUGUAAAUAAACCGUAGAUCACUAACUCUCUAUGAAUGGACUCCUUAGAAUGAUGCAGGUCAUCAUUUGCACGCUUACCAGAGACGUUUUGCAAAUUUUCACUGAUAAAAACCUAGAUUAUGCGUUGAAAAAUGUUUAUUUAUUAACAUGUAUAUUAAUAUGUGCUACUGCGGGAUUAGAAAAUACUGUGUUUAACCAUUCAAGGUCUAACAUAGAAAAUGUUUUAUGUGAUAAAACGUUGGUAUUCAGGUACUUUUAGAGCUCAACGUGUUUGUUACUGAACCAACUGAACAAGAAUAUUCAUAAUUUAUAAUACAUACAAAUACAAAAUGAGACCAUUAUGGAACAAUAUGUUGAAGUUCGCUGGCUGAAACUGAAAACUCCUAUACAUGUAUUAAGCAUAUUCCGUCUCUAACAGUUACCAGAGUCAUUGGGGGGCUCCGGGGGGGUCGUCUGGUCUUCAGCCUCCAGAGAGGAUGUGAGAUCAACGGCCUCUGACCUCUGAGUGAACACAUUCAACAACUAGAUGUUAUUACCAGCACAACUAUUAUUAAUGCCUGUACAGUUUGUAUUUACUGUACCUCAGAUGUCUCCUUUUCCUCCUCGUUUGGAUUCUCAGAAUCAGGGUCUGAAAAAGGAGAAAAGUUUAUUUAACAGUCUUCAUCAGAAGCAUUUUAUUGGUACUUUGGGAUUACGAGGUGUUCAAACAUCACGACCGUGAGAGACAUACUUGGUGUAGAUGCCGUAACAAUAACCGUGAAACAAACAAACAGACCAAAUUGAAGGUGAAACUAUAAAACAUAAAUAUAAAUAUUCUGUGCGUCUCCCGUGACUGAACCAAUUAAACUGAUUUUACCACCACACCAACUUAAAAAUAAAACUGCUCUAGAUAUUUAUUCCCUUAUUAUUGAUAUUACCUUUUGACAUCCACAUGAACCACUCUUCCCAUUGGCAUAAAUCUGCACAAUACUUUUCUAAAGAAAAAAGAAAAUGUAUAAAAUGUAAAGCUAGUUCUAGUUACUCGUUAUUUCCUUCUUUCCAAGCCGUGAAGAACCAACGUUGAGUUUCCGUAAAACUUGAAUUGCACCGAUAUUAAUGCAUCUCGCUGGAAGCCCGACGUCAUGUCGGUGGAGCGAAGCUCAUAAAAAGCCAUUUAAUCUUCAUCCAAACCGCCCGAGUUCUUCUCUCUGAAUACGUUUUCAUAACGUAGAGUUUGGUCUUUAUUGCUCUCAAACUCAAAACCCUUUUGCCCAGCAGACACUCACUUGUUGUGGCAACAAAAGCAACAGGUGGAACUAAUGAACCGCGGCUUAAUUCCAGCAAUUAUCUUGAUGCAGCGCAGCGAUUAGUGAUGUCCUCACCGGUUGUUCAAACUGCGCCUGACAAGUCACAAUGUCUGCUCACGGGGGAAAAAGAAAAAAGAAAAAAAAGGUCUAGGGCUAUUUAACUUUAGUUUCUGCCCUAAAGUCAGGAAUUAAAUCCUCAGACUGCCGCCCCCCGGGUGCUUAACGAACCCCUCGGAGAAGUCAAACAAUGUGGAAAAGUCCUCCGGCUGCUCACAGCGAGUUAUUCUGAUUAACAAGGAGAAUGUUUCUAUAAAUACACAGCAUGGACAUUUCUGAAGGUUUUGAGUAGUUGCACAGAUAUCAUUUAAUGAAUUAAUUUAGCUCCUCGUGUUGAUGGUAGAAAAUCUGCAUGAGCCAAACUAAUGACAUCAGCAUGGCGACAUUCCACUAAAGGCGAGUGGAACCACGGUUUUAUGGAUUUGAAUUUUUUUUUUUGGGGGGAGAUUCAAACUAUAUUUUCUUGAAUCCGAAACCAUAUAGUAAUGAAAAACAAUGGGUAACAAAUGUUGAAACAAACUUGCACACAUUUUUUUGCACACUUUUUCAUAAUAAAUGUAAAACCCUCCUUGUAUGUUUUUUCACCAGCAGAGGAAAAAGAGCUCGGAGCGUUUUCUUCAGAACAGGUUGUGACUGCCGUCAGUAUCGUGGGAAAGAGGCAGGAGGAGAUGCCGUGCAUAACGUAAAAGGCCGAGCUUGGUUCUCAAGCGUCUCGUUGGUUGUCCAUACCUGCAGUGGGCGGGGCCUCGCUCUCAACCGGCUGCUCAUUGGCCUCCACAUCAGUCAGCUCCGGCGCUGCAACCUCUUCUGGGCCGGACGUCUGCAAAGAGGAAGCAACAGGUCAACAACCUUCUCCAACCAGACGGGAGAGAGACAGGUCGGAUCCUUUGGGUCCUCCCAUCGCGAGACGGGUCGGAUCCUUUGGGUCCUCCCAGCGCGAGACGGGUCGGAUCCUUUGGGUCCUCCCAGCGCGAGACGGGUCGGAUCCUUUGGGUCCUCUAUCACGAGACGGGUCGGAUCCUUUGGGUCCUCUAUCACGAGACGGGUCGGAUCCUUUGGGUCCUCCCAGCGCGAGACGGGUCGGAUCGUUCGGUCCUCUAUCACGAGACGGGUCGGAUCCUUUGGGUCCUCUAUCACGAGACGGGUCGGAUCCUUUGGGUCCUCCCAGCGCGAGACGGGUCGGAUCCUUUGGGUCCUCUAUCGCGAGAC
ensembl:lncRNA